AUACAAAUCACCUGGGGACCUUAUUAAAAUGCAGAUUCUGAUUCUGUAGGUUAGAAGUGGGACAUAAGAUUCUGUAAUUCUAACAAACUCCCAGGUGACGAUGCU
rnacentral:pre_miRNA from 1 species